GAUGAACGCUGGCGGCGUGCCUAAUACAUGCAAGUCGAGCGAACAGAAGAGGAGCUUGCUCCUCUGACGUUAGCGGCGGACGGGUGAGUAACACGUGGAUAACCUACCUAUAAGACUGGGAUAACUUCGGGAAACCGGAGCUAAUACCGGAUAAUAUAUUUAACCGCAUGGUUCAAUAGUGAAAGACGGUUUUGCUGUCACUUAUAGAUGGAUCCGCGCCGCAUUAGCUAGUUGGUAAGGUAACGGCUUACCAAGGCGACGAUGCGUAGCCGACCUGAGAGGGUGAUCGGCCACACUGGAACUGAGACACGGUCCAGACUCCUACAGGAGGCAGCAGUAGGGAAUCUUCCGCAAUGGGCGAAAGCCUGACGGAGCAACGCCGCGUGAGUGAUGAAGGUCUUCGGAUCGUAAAACUCUGUUAUUAGGGAAGAACAAAUGUGUAAGUAACUAUGCACGUCUUGACGGUACCUAAUCAGAAAGCCACGGCUAACUACGUG
rnacentral:rRNA from 1 species